rnacentral:rRNA from 1 species
GCAUAUCAAUAAGCGGAGGAAAAGAAACCAACAGGGAUUGCCACAGUAACGGCGAGUGAAGCGGCAACAGCUCAAAUUUGAAAUCUGGCCUCACGGUCCGAGUUGUAAUUUGUAGAGGAUGUUUUGGGUGUGGCUCCGGUCUAAGUUCCUUGGAACAGGACGUCAUAGAGGGUGAGAAUCCCGUAUGUGAUCGGUGGCCUUCGCCCGUGUAAAGCUCUUUCGACGAGUCGAGUUGUUUGGGAAU